AUCUGUUCUCUUCACGUGACAUUUCAUAAAAGCCCUAACAUCUGGGCAAGAUAAACUUCCUUCAGGUCUCGGAUUCGAAGUUUCUUGGGAAAGAGUGGGGUUGCCGGCUGUGAGAAAUCAUGAGGCCUGUCUCUGGAAAUGGGAGGUUGGGCCUUUGCCUGACUCUGUGGCGGCUCCUUCUGCUACCGCUGACACUUGGAACCGCCGCCUCGGCGCAGCGGCCAGACGCGGGGCCCCGAGCGGUCCACGCAGUCGGAGAAGGGCGCGGACAUUGUCACUCUCCCCACCGUGUGGCCCCGGCCCGCCACCCACGCAGGGGAGUCUGGGCCGGCGGCCCCCCUCCCGCGCGCGCCGCAGAUGCAGGGAAAACCGCCUGACAUCAUGAGAGCGGGACAAACGCUCACUUUGAAGGAUUCCUGGGCAGGACUUCAAGUGAAAUCAUAUGCCUGAGAAGAACUUGAUACCGGUCUAGAGAAAAUAACCAGUUCUGAGUUUGCCAAACCGUGGAAUGUGCAAAAUGCUCGACUUUUUUGCAAGAGGCCAAGUGUCCCUUAAAAAGCUCUAUUAUGAAUAUGAGCCUGAGGACCGAAGGAGCAAGAAGCUUGUGCCGUUGUUGAGUGUGGGAAAAAAGUACACACAGUAUCUGCCUCCUCAAAAUAUAAGCAAGAGAAGUGAAUAACGAAUUUAAGUUUUUGCUGUUUGGGGACCUAAUAAGAGAUGAAGGAUAGAUGCUACAAAGCCCACUGAACACCAAACUGGAAUAAUAAUAAAGCUGUCUUUCUAA